GAUGAACGCUGGCGGCGUGCCUAAUACAUGCAAGUCGAGCGAACAGACGAUUAGGUGGCUCCGCUUACGUUAGCGGCGGACGAGUGAUUAACACGUGGAUAACCUACCUAGAAUACUGGGAGAACUUCGGGAAACCUGAGCUAAUACCUGAUAAUAUUUUGAGCCGCAUGGUUCAAUAUUUAAAGACGUUGUUUCUGUCACUUGUAGAUGGGUCCGCGCCGCAUUAGCUAGUUGGUAAGGGAACGGCUUACCAAGGCAACGAUGCGUAGCCGACCUGAGAGGGUGGUAGGCCACACUGGAACUGAGACGCGGUCCAGACUACUAAGGGAGGCAGCAGUAGGGAAUCGUCCGCAAUGGGCGAAAGCAUGACGGAGCAACGCCGAGUGAGUGAUGAAGGUCUUCGGAUCGUAAAACUCUGUUAUUAGGGAAGAACAAAUGUGUAAGCAACUAUGCACGUAUUGACGGUACCUAAACAGAAAGCCACGGCUAACUACGUG
rnacentral:rRNA from 1 species